UAAUACGGAGGGUGCAAGCGUUAAUCGGAAUUACUGGGCGUAAAGCGCGCGUAGGUGGUUUGGUAAGCGAGAUGUGAAAGCCCCGGGCUUAACCUGGGAACGGCAUUUCGAACUGUCAGACUAGAGUGUGGUAGAGGGUAGUGGAAUUUCCUGUGUAGCGGUGAAAUGCGUAGAUAUAGGAAGGAACACCAGUGGCGAAGGCGGCUACCUGGACCAACACUGACACUGAGGUGCGAAAGCGUGGGGGGCAAACAGGAUUAGAUACCCUGGUAGUCCACGCCGUAAACGAUGUCAACUAGCCGUUGGGACUCUUGAAGUCUUAGUGGCGCAGCUAACGCACUAAGUUGACCGCCUGGGGAGUACGGCCGCAAGGUUAAAACUCAAAUGAAUUGACGGGGGCCCGCACAAGCGGUGGAGCAUGUGGUUUAAUUCGACGCAACGCGAAGAACCUUACCUGGCCUUGACAUCCAGAGAACUUUCCAGAGAUGGAUUGGUGCCUUCGGGAACUCUGAGACAGGUGCUGCAUGGCCGUCGUCAGCUCGUGUCGUGAGAUGUUGGGUUAAGUCCCGUAACGAGCGCAACCCCUAUCCCUGGUUGCUAGCAGGUAAUGCUGAGAACUCCAGGGAGACUGCCGGUGACAAACCGGAGGAAGGUGGGGAUGACGUCAGGUCAUCAUGGCCCUUACGGCCAGGGCUACACACGUGCUACAAUGGCGCGUACAGAGGGCUGCCAACUCGCGAGAGUGAGCCAAUCCCUUAAAACGCGUCGUAGUCCGGAUCGGAGUCUGCAACUCGACUCCGUGAAGUCGGAAUCGCUAGUAAUCGCGAAUCAGAAUGUCGCGGUGAAUACGUUCCCGGGCCUUGUACACACCGCCCGUCACACCAUGGGAGUGGAUUGCACCAGAAGUAGUUAGUCUAACCCUCGGGAGGACGAUUACCACGGUGUGGUUCAUGACUGGGGUGAAGUCGUA
rnacentral:rRNA from 1 species